CUCAGCCUGGCUCAGGGUCCAGCGACCGUCAGAAUCCAUGGACAGCCACUUAACUGGGGAGCCUCCUUGCUCUUACCUGGAUGCCAGCUCCUUCCGGGACCAUGAUCUUCCACACGCAGUUGAGGCUGUUGAGAUAUCCCUCUCAAGUUCCUUCCUCUCUCUCUGUAUUCACACUGCCCUGCAGGACCAGAGAGUUAUUAGGCCUGAACAGGACAUUCUCCUCAGAUGCUGAGGAGGACUGCUGCAAGCCCUGAGGAUAUCUCUGAUGACUGACUGGCUGUGUCCCUCAGGGAGUGAAGUCUGCCCUUAGUCUUUUCCUCUCCCCGUCUCUCCUUGCCCUGUCUCAGUCUUGGCUAUCACUUACCCACACAGAACAGCUGCAGCAGCUACUUGAGGACCUGCAAAGGCUUCUGGUGCCAUCCUCUACACCCCCCCACCCCCGCCCCAUCUUAGGAGCCUGUGAUCACCUGAAUUUUUCUUCCAUUUCCCAGACAACCAAGUCGGCCCCUGGACACCAGCUCUUGGGUAA